rnacentral:rRNA from 1 species
AUGAAAAAACAAGGCAUCUGCUGGGAGUCCGAGGACGUGCUAGUGUCAUGGUACUGGUUCCUCAAGAAGGUAGUCGCCCACGCUGACCACCAGCCGCACCCCGAUCUCGACUUCGCCGAGCUCUUCGAGGUGUUCUGCGAGGGCCGCAACAGAUGCGGGCCCAUGUGGCGGCAGGCGGCCGAGUACUGGGAGGCGAGCAGGGAGAGCCCGGACAAGGUGCUCUUCCUCAGUUACGAGGAGAUGCUGCGCGACCCAUCGGGCAACGUCCGGAGGCUGGUGCGGUUCCUGGAGUGCCCGUUCACGACGGAGGAGGAGGAUGCCCGCGUGGUGGGUGCCAUCUUGGAGCUGUGCAGCCUGGAGAAGCUACGGAACCUGGAGGUGAACAAGAACGGCGCACCGGGGAUGAACACUGACUCCAACGUCGCCUUCUUCAGGAAGGGCAUGGUCCGCGACUGGAGCAACGACAUGACGCCCGCCAUGGCAGCGAGGCUGGAUGCCAUCGUCGAGGACGUGCUGCGAGGCAGCACGGGCUUCUCGUUUACUAACUCUGGCCACGUGGAAGAAGGUGCUCCUCCGGAGAUCGGUUGA